rnacentral:rRNA from 1 species
GACGAACGCUGGCGGCGUGCCUAAUACAUGCAAGUCGAACGCAUUUUCUUUCACCGUAGCUUGCUACACCGACAGAAAAUGAGUGGCGAACGGGUGAGUAACACGUUGGUAACCUGCCCAUCAGCGGGGGAUAACACUUGGAAACAGGUGCUAAUACCGCAUAAUUCCAUUUACCGCAUGGUAGAUGGAUGAAAGGCGCUUUUGCGUCACUGAUGGAUGGACCCGCGGUGCAUUAGCUAGUUGGUGGGGUAACGGCCUACCAAGGCUGCGAUGCAUAGCCGACCUGAGAGGGUGAUCGGCCACACUGGGACUGAGACACGGCCCAGACUCCUACGGGAGGCAGCAGUAGGGAAUCUUCGGCAAUGGACGCAAGUCUGACCGAGCAACGCCGCGUGAGUGAAGAAGGGUUUCGGAUCGUAAAACUCUGUUGUUAGAGAAGAACAAGGAUGAGAGUGGAAAGUUCAUCCCUUGACGGUAGCUAACCAGAAAGCCACGGCUAACUACGUG